UAGAUAAAGAUUGAUUAUGACAGUUUAUUAUCUAUAUGUCUUGGCUAAAUUUUGUGCCAGCAGCCGCGGUAAUACAAAGGAGACUAGUGUUAUUCAUCUUUACUAGGUUUAAAGGGUACCUAGACAGCUUAUACAACCUCUGAAAAAGGUUAAAAUUAGCUAGAGUUUUAUGUAAAAGGAAAAUUAAGUACUAAAUAUGUAGAGAUAGAAUUUUUUGAUAUUUUUGGGACGGAUUAUGGCGAAAGCGAACCUUUAUGUAAAAACUGACGUUGAGGGACGAAGGCAUUGUGUAACGAACAGGAUUAGAUACCCCAGUAGUCUUUGCAGACAAUGAUGAGUGCCAUAGAUCAGAAUAUUUUUGGUUUAUAAAUGAAAGUGUAAGCAUUCCACCUCAAGAGUAAUGUGGCAACGCAGGAACUGAAAUCAUUAGACCGUUUCUGAAAACAGUAGUGAAGUAUGUUAUUUAAUUCGAUGAUCCGCGAAAAACCUUACCACAACUUGUAUAUUAAUUCAUUGAAUUAAUCACACGCGUUGCAUGGUUGUCUUUAGUUGAUGUCGUGAGAUAUGGUCCUCCUUUAAUCAACGAAAACCCUUUCUUUAUUUAUUAUUAUAAAGUAGUUCUCCGUUAUAUAGGAUAAGAUAACAGGGAUUAAGACAAAUCAUCAUGGCCGGAAUAUUGUGGGCUAUAGACGUGCCACACAAGCUUAAACAAAAGGAUG
rnacentral:rRNA from 1 species